AUGGAAAGCACAAACGAGGGAGAUCACCAGGAUAAUGGCAGUCUGAAUACAUCGAGUGCCAUACCAAGUUGGGUACCACAGAUGGGCAUGAAAUUCGGCACUGUCGAUGAAGCAUGGACAUUCUGGGUUACUUAUGGGGGCAAAGUUGGAUUUGGUACUAGAAAGCGAUACCUCAACCCAAGUAAGUUUGAUCGGACAAUCACGUCGUGCAGAUUUGUUUGUCGCAAGGAAGGCCAUCGAGGAAAAGACAAAAGAGAUAAGCAUAUUAAGGAACCUCGAGCUGAGAUUCGAACCGGUUGUCUAGCUCGCAUGGGUCUCACAAUAAACAGAGAAGCGGGAAAUUAUGAAGUAACCGAUCUUGUUCUAGAGCACAACCACAUUAUGCAGUUGCAAGAAACAUGCCACUUUCUGCCAUCACAGCGAAAGAUAUCUGAAAUUCAAGCUUUUGAGAUUGAAAUUGCAGAUGAUUCAGGUAUUGGGCCAAAAGCUGCGUAUGAGUGUGCUAGUCGUCGAGUUGGUGGACCAUCUGUUCUUGGC
rnacentral:rRNA from 1 species